UACGUAGGGUGCAAGCGUUAAUCGGAAUUACUGGGCGUAAAGCGUGCGCAGGCGGUUUUGUAAGUCUGUCGUGAAAUCCCCGGGCUCAACCUGGGAGUUGCGAUGGAGACUGCAAGGCUAGAGUUUGGCAGAGGGGGGUAGAAUUCCACGUGUAGCAGUGAAAUGCGUAGAGAUGUGGAGGAACACCGAUGGCGAAGGCAGCCCCCUGGGUCAAAACUGACGCUCAUGCACGAAAGCGUGGGGAGCAAACAGG
rnacentral:rRNA from 1 species